UUAGUUGAAACCAAAAAGAGGUAUAUUACUGUUAAUAAUAAGAUUGAAUUAACAAAUUCCAACUAAA
rnacentral:tRNA from 1 species